GCAAGAUGAGUUGCUGUAGCACUUUAAGGAAUCAUACUAAAGAGAAAUGGACAAUGUCUUUUUCCAGAUGUCAAAAAUGUGAUUUGUGUGGUCUGUCUUAAUGAUGUGUAUUCCCUGGUCCAGUGGAACUGGACUCGGUAACAUCCAGCCAAUGAAGGGACAAUGUCACAAAUGUGCUUUAGAAUACAUAAUGAGUUACAUCAGACAAGAGACUAAUUUCCAAAAUAUAUAGUUUGCCAAACUCAACAACAAGAAAACAAAUGACCUCAUCCAAAAAUGGGGAUAAGAUAUGAAAAGAAUAUUUUCCAAAGAAGAGAUUCGAAAGC